rnacentral:rRNA from 1 species
ACGGGAGGCAGCAGUGGGGGAAUCUUGCGCAAUGGCCUAACGGCUGACGCAGCGACGCCGCGUGAGGGAUGACGCUCUUCGGAGUGUAAACCUCUUUUGCCCGGAACGAAUUGCCACCAUCAGGUGGCUUGACGGUACCGGUUGAAUAAGCACCGGCUAACUCCGUGCCAGCAGCCGCGGUAAUACGGGGGGUGCGAGCGUUGUCCGGAAUCACUGGGCGUAAAGGGCGCGUAGGUGGCGUGAUAAGGGUGUGGUGAAAGCCCGGGGCUCAACCCCGGGUCUGCCAUGCCGACUGUCAGGCUCGAGUACUGUAGGGGCAGGCGGAAUUCCGGGUGUAGCGGUGGAAUGCGUAGAGAUCCGGAGGAAGACCGGUGGCGAAGGCGGCCUGCUGGGCAGUUACUGACACUGAGGCGCGACAGCGUGGGGAGCAAACAGGAUUAGAUACCCUGGUAGUCCACGCCGUAAACGAUGGGUACUAGGUGCCUGGGGGAGCGACCCCUUGGGUGCCGGCGCUAACGCAGGAAGUACCCCGCCUGGGGAGUACGGCCGCAAGGCUGAAACUCAAAGGAAUUGACG